GUGCUCGCUUUGGCAGCACACAGGCCAAAAUUGGAAUGACACAGAGACAAUUAGUGUGGCCCUGUGCAAGGAUGAUGUGCAAAUUCCUGAAGUGUUCCAUAUUAAA